CAGAGAUCUAAACGUGUGCAGGAACAGGCCAUACAAAUAUCUGGGGGAAGUGUUGAGGGCACAGAAGUGCAGAGGCUUUGUUGAAGCCAGGAGCAACAAAGAAGUUAACAUGGCUAAACAGAAAGGAGGCAAAUGCAGCCAAGAGCCAGCUCACUUAUGAACUUAAAGGCCAAGGAAAGAAGAGGAUGAAGGAACAUUUCCCAAUUUCUGUUAUGAGGCCAGCAUAACCAAAACAAGACAUUGUAAGAUGGGACAGAGAGGGACAGGAGAUUUCAUCAAGAUACUCAGAACUGACAAGCAGUAGAUCCUCACACUGCGUGGAACAAAAUCAAUAAAAGCCAAGAACAACAGGCAUUGCUCUUUCAAGAUCAUUUCAUCAGGAUUUAGCAGAGGCAAACACAAUGAGGAGAAAAUGUUGAAG